rnacentral:rRNA from 1 species
GGAUGAGCCCGCGGCCUAUCAGCUUGUUGGUGAGGUAAUGGCUCACCAAGGCGACGACGGGUAGCCGGCCAGAGAGGGCGACCGGCCACACUGGGACUGAGACACGGCCCAGACUCCUACGGGAGGCAGCAGUGGGGGAUAUUGCACAAUGGGCGAAAGCCUGAUGCAGCGACGCCGCGUGAGGGAUGACGGCCUUCGGGUUGUAAACCUCUUUCAGCAGGGAAGAAGCGAAAGUGACGGUACCUGCAGAAGAAGCGCCGGCUAACUACGUGCCAGCAGCCGCGGUAAUACGUAGGGCGCAAGCGUUGUCCGGAAUUAUUGGGCGUAAAGAGCUCGUAGGCGGUCUGUCGCGUCCGAUGUGAAAGCCCGGGGCUUAACCCCGGGUCUGCAUUCGAUACGGGCAGACUAGAGUGUGGUAGGGGAGAUCGGAAUUCCUGGUGUACCGGUGAAAUGCGCAAAUAUCAGGAGGAACCCCCGGUGGCGAAGGCGGAUUUCUGGGCC